AAGAACCUUACCAGGUCUUGACAUCCUCUGACAAUCCUAGAGAUAGGACGUCCCCUUCGGGGGCAGAGUGACAGGUGGUGCAUGGUUGUCGUCAGCUCGUGUCGUGAGAUGUUGGGUUAAGUCCCGCAACGAGCGCAACCCUUGAUCUUAGUUGCCAGCAUUCAGUUGGGCACUCUAAGGUGACUGCCGGUGACAAACCGGAGGAAGGUGGGGAUGACGUCAAAUCAUCAUGCCCCUUAUGACCUGGGCUACACACGUGCUACAAUGGACAGAACAAAGGGCAGCGAAACCGCGAGGUUAAGCCAAUCCCACAAAUCUGUUCUCAGUUCGGAUCGCAGUCUGCAACUCGACUGCGUGAAGCUGGAAUCGCUAGUAAUCGCGGAUCAGCAUGCCGCGGUGAAUACGUUCCCGGGCCUUGUACACACCGCCCGUCACACCACGAGAGUUUGUAACACCCGAAGUCGGUGAGGUAACCUUUAUGGAGCCAGCCGCCGAAGGUGGGACAGAUGAUUGGGGUGAAGUCGUAACA
rnacentral:rRNA from 1 species